rnacentral:rRNA from 1 species
CCUACGGGCGGCAGCAGUGGGGAAUAUUGCGCAAUGGGCGAAAGCCUGACGCAGCGACGCCGCGUGAGGGAUGAAGGUCUUCGGAUCGUAAACCUCUGUCAGCAGGGAGCACGGUCCCUGUGCUAAUCAGCAGUGAAUUGACGGUACCUGCAAACGAAGCAUCGGCUAACUCCGUGCCAGCCGCCGCGGUAAUACGGAGGGUGCGGACGUUAAUCGGAAUUACUUGGCGUAAGGGGCUCGUAGGCGGGAUGUCAAGUCAAGGGUGAAAUCCCCGCGCCCAACGUGGGAACUGCCUUUGAUACUGGCAAACUGGAGUGUGUGAGAGGAUAGUGGAAUUCGAGGUGUAGGGGUGAAAUCCGUAGAUAUCUGGAGGAACAUCAGUGGCGAAGGCGACUAUCUGGCACAUAACUGACGCUGAGGAGCGAAAGCGUGGGUAGCAAACAGGAUUAGAUACCCUUGUAGUC